UACGUAGGUGGCGAGCGUUGUCCGGAAUUACUGGGUGUAAAGGGAGCGCAGGCGGGGAGCCAAGUUGGAUGUGAAAUACCGCAGCUUAACUGCGGGGCUGCAUCCAAAACUGGUUCUCUUGAGUGAAGUAGAGGUAGGCGGAAUUCCUAGUGUAGCGGUGAAAUGCGUAGAUAUUAGGAGGAACACCAGUGGCGAAGGCGGCCUACUGGGCUUUAACUGACGCUGAGGCUCGAAAAGCGUGGGGGAGCGAACAGG
rnacentral:rRNA from 1 species